AAACGACAGGUCAAACCAACCACUAAAACCAACAACACCACCAAAACCGGCAAAAAAACCAAUCAACAUGACGACCUCGAAACAGUUUACCAGUUCGGCAAAAAUACAAACAGAAACAGUUGAGCCAACUUCCGAUGAAGUUGAAGUAAGACCAAAAUACAAGAUGGAAUCUGGAGCUGCGAACUACCUUGUUGAAGAUAUUCGAAAGAAUGGACGAAAAAAAAUUCUACUGAUCGGGAAAACGGGAUCAGGAAAGAGUUCGUUAUGCAACGUGUUGACUGGUUUGCAGGACAAUUCCGAUGUCUUUAAGACCUCUCCUUUUGCUGCUGCCUGUACAGAGGGAACAAAAUUUGCGAACAUCUUUUUUAAAGGAAAGUAGUAUGAUGUCCUCCAUAAAAACUCACCGGGGGCGAAGUAAUAAGUUAGGGGGUGGGAACGACCGCCUUAGCAAGUUAAAACGGAAGUACAACAGAUUUCAUAACCGGUUAGAGCAAACGUAUGUUCGCCAUAAUGAGGCACAUGGGGGAACAAAAUGUCAUCAAUAGCAGACUACGAGUAUGACACCAGAUUCACAACAAAACAACGUGGUAGGGCAGAAGCUAUAUCGUAUCUCGGACCAAC